GACGAACGCUGGCGGCGUGCUUAACACAUGCAAGUCGAACGGAAAGGCCCUGCUUUUGUGGGGUGCUCGAGUGGCGAACGGGUGAGUAACACGUGAGUAACCUGCCCUUGACUUUGGGAUAACUUCAGGAAACUGGGGCUAAUACCGGAUAGGAGCUCCUGCUGCAUGGUGGGGGUUGGAAAGUUUCGGCGGUUGGGGAUGGACUCGCGGCUUAUCAGCUUGUUGGUGGGGUAGUGGCUUACCAAGGCUUUGACGGGUAGCCGGCCUGAGAGGGUGACCGGCCACAUUGGGACUGAGAGACGGCCCAGACUCCUACGGGAGGCAGAAGGGGGGAAUAUUGCACAAUGGGCGGAAGCCUGAUGCAGCAACGCCGCGUGCGGGAUGACGGCCUUCGGGUUGUAAACCGCUUUCGCCUGUGACGAAGCGUGAGUGACGGGAAUGGGUAAAGAAGCACCGGCUAACUACGUG
rnacentral:rRNA from 1 species